UCUAUACUACUAUUAAAAGAGCAAACAAGAAUUCCCCUAAAGCCACACCACAAAGUGCACACGGAAUAACCCUCCAUGUUCGAUCAGACCCACGUAAUACCAUCCAACUGCCCACAUUACAUCACCAUACUACAAUCAGAUCGACGGUGAAAACAAAUGUUCUGUCGGCAGACUCCUUCGUCCGGGAUGCUACACAACCCAACGAUGGCACCUCCUAGAAACUAAACAAUACAUCCACAAUCAACGCCGCCACCACGCCAUGAACCUGGCCUCGCCCUUGGGGUCCGCGACAUCCUCAUCCCGGUGGCCGUGCCAUCUGAACGGAACCUCGGCCUUGCUCCGCCAUCCUCACCCCUUGUCUUCGCGUCGUCAUCAACCCGGCGACCGUGCCGUCUGAACGAAACCUCGGCCUCGCCCCUGAUCUCCACGCCGUCGUUGACCCGGUGGCCGUGUCGUCUGAACGAAACCUCCGUCUCGCCCCGUCGUCCUCGUCCCUGAUCUCCACGCCGUCGUCGACCCGAUGGCCAUCCUCGACCCGGCGCGCUGCCCUACCUCCGGUGGCCCGCGCCAUAGUAGUAAUUCCGCCCCUGCCACUGCACAGGUUAGAUCAUUUGAAUUUGCAAUCAGACAUCAGACAUAAGGCAAAGGAAAUAUCUCUUUUAAUCUGACAAAUCUGUAAUUUGUAGUGUGAAAUUUGAUACUUAUAGGACAAUCAUGAUCUGCAUGACAAACUAAGUUCUUCAUGUAGAAUUGUUCAUUGUUUGACUCACAAAUUGACGGCAAGGUUGAAGAAGUGUUUCACAAAUAGAUGCAGUGAGAAGACAAUAUGACAUCCUCUCAGUGUAGUGGGGUAUGUACUCCCUUUCAGGACUUGACAAACAGCGGCAAUUUAGGUAAAUACUACUUCGACCUUGUAAAUCCUGAAUAUUUCAUUCCCUCAUAGGUCAAAAAACAGAUCCAAAAAAUUGAAGAGACAAAGGGAAAGGGAGAGGUAUGCACUAAACAGGGAUGCAAUAUUAAAAAGAAGACAUGAGGCAAGGGAUCGUAAGAAAGCUACAUCGGCUAUUCUCAAUGGAAACAACACUCCAUCUAAGCCACCCGUCUCCAUGUCGCCUGGUUUCUCUAUUUUCUCUGUUCUUUAUGAUACAUUCAUGAAUAACAAGUAAAGUCAUAUUAAUGAUCAGUUCGUUUGGGCAGAUUUUGACACUGUGGAGAGGCCCAGUGCACCAUCUGUUGUUACCCAGCAUGGGUACACACCGGAAGGUGAUGUUUCUCUUGACAAACAUAAUAGCUUCCUUUCCGUGUCAACAAAACUGACACAGUACAUACAUUUGUGAUGUAGGUAUACCUGUUGAUGUCGUAAUGACUGAUCAGACUCCACUUCAUGGUCCAAAUUCAUUAAGAACACCCGAAGAUGUCAACAUGUCGAGUCUGCCAUUGAGUCCUCCCAACUAACUGGGUUACGACCACCACUUCAAGCCUACAAAUGCAGCAUGUCAUAUGGUAAUCAACUGUUCCUCAUAUUAUCUAUGAUACAUAAUUGACACUUAGAUCGUACAGAGGAAAAACAACUUCUUCUCAUAUUGCAUUGUCUACUGUACAUAAUUCACACUUAUUCUACAGAAAGAAAAACAAGCACUUAAGAGGGAGAGGGAAAAUGCCCGGUAUGAGCAACAUGAAGAAGGGAUAUUACAGAGCCUACGUGAGAAACGGUGCCGAGCCAAAUCUACAGUUGUCCCAACAACCGGAGAACAAACUCAAUCCAGUACAGGUGAUGCCAGCUACAUCAAACACAUGAUAUCCAAUCUUUGAUUUCCUAAUUGAUAGUCACUCAAUAUUUCUGUAGCCGAUGAAGAUUGUGAUUGGCUACACAAAAAUGAUACAUACCAGAUGCAAAACAUUGGAGGGAGGAUGACGCCAGUCAACAUACUCAGUAAGCCGUCGUGUGGACACAAUC
rnacentral:lncRNA from 1 species